GCGCCCGUAGCUCAGCUGGAUAGAGCGACGGCCUUCUAAGCCGUUGGUCCCCCGUUCGAAUCGGGGCGGGCGUG
rnacentral:tRNA from 1 species